GAUGAACGCUGGCGGCGUGCCUAAUACAUGCAAGUCGAGCGAACGGACGAGAAGCUUGCUUCUCUGAUGUUAGCGGCGGACGGGUGAGUAACACGUGGAUAACCUACCUAUAAGACUGGGAUAACUUCGGGAAACCGGAGCUAAUACCGGAUAAUAUUUUGAACCGCAUGGUUCAAAAGUGAAAGACGGUCUUGCUGUCACUUAUAGAUGGAUCCGCGCUGCAUUAGCUAGUUGGUAAGGUAACGGCUUACCAAGGCAACGAUGCAUAGCCGACCUGAGAGGGUGAUCGGCCACACUGGAACUGAGACACGGUCCAGACUCCUACGGGAGGCAGCAGUAGGGAAUCUUCCGCAAUGGGCGAAAGCCUGACGGAGCAACGCCGCGUGAGUGAUGAAGGUCUUCGGAUCGUAAAACUCUGUUAUUAGGGAAGAACAUAUGUGUAAGUAACUGUGCACAUCUUGACGGUACCUAAUCAGAAAGCCACGGCUAACUACGUGCCAGCAGCCGCGGUAAUACGUAGGUGGCAAGCGUUAUCCGGAAUUAUUGGGCGUAAAGCGCGCGUAGGCGGUUUUUUAAGUCUGAUGUGAAAGCCCACGGCUCAACUGUGGAGGGUCAUUGGAAACUGGAAAACUUGAGUGCAGAAGAGGAAAGUGGAAUUCCAUGUGUAGCGGUGAAAUGCGCAGAGAUAUGGAGGAACACCAGUGGCGAAGGCGACUUUCUGGUCUGUAACUGACGCUGAUGUGCGAAAGCGUGGGGAUCAAACAGGAUUAGAUACCCUGGUAGUCCACGCCGUAAACGAUGAGUGCUAAGUGUUAGGGGGUUUCCGCCCCUUAGUGCUGCAGCUAACGCAUUAAGCACUCCGCCUGGGGAGUACGACCGCAAGGUUGAAACUCAAAGGAAUUGACGGGGACCCGCACAAGCGGUGGAGCAUGUGGUUUAAUUCGAAGCAACGCGAAGAACCUUACCAAAUCUUGACAUCCUUUGACAACUCUAGAGAUAGAGCCUUCCCCUUCGGGGGACAAAGUGACAGGUGGUGCAUGGUUGUCGUCAGCUCGUGUCGUGAGAUGUUGGGUUAAGUCCCGCAACGAGCGCAACCCUUAAGCUUAGUUGCCAUCAUUAAGUUGGGCACUCUAAGUUGACUGCCGGUGACAAACCGGAGGAAGGUGGGGAUGACGUCAAAUCAUCAUGCCCCUUAUGAUUUGGGCUACACACGUGCUACAAUGGACAAUACAAAGGGCAGCGAAACCGCGAGGUCAAGCAAAUCCCAUAAAGUUGUUCUCAGUUCGGAUUGUAGUCUGCAACUCGACUACAUGAAGCUGGAAUCGCUAGUAAUCGUAGAUCAGCAUGCUACGGUGAAUACGUUCCCGGGUCU
rnacentral:rRNA from 1 species